UACGAGGGGGGCAAAUGUUGUUCGGAAUCACUGGGCGUAAAGGGAGCGUAGGCGGGUUCUUAAGUUAGGUGUUUAAUCCCGGGGCCCAACCCCGGACCGGCACUUAAAACUGGGAGUCUUGAAUAGUGGAGAGGUCAGUGGAAUUGGGGGUGUAGCGGUGGAAUGCGUAGAGAUCCCCAAGAACACCAGUUGCGAAGGCGGCUGACUGGACACAUAUUGACGCUGAGGCUCGAAAGCAUGGGGAGCAAACAGG
rnacentral:rRNA from 1 species